GCGAAUGUGGCGGAAUUGGUAGACGCGCUAGCUUCAGGUGUUAGUGUUCUUACGGACGUGGGGGUUCAAGUCCCCCCCCUCGCACCA
rnacentral:tRNA from 2 species